AGCGGAGCGUGUGGUUUAAUUCGAUGCUACACGAAGAACCUUACCAAGGUUGACAUGCAAGUGGUAGUGAUCUGAAAAGUGAACGACCUUCGGGAGCUUGCACAGGUGCUGCAUGGCUGUCGUCAGCUCGUGUCGUGAGAUGUUCGGUUAAGUCCGCUAACGAGCGCAGCCCUCACUGUGUGUUAUACGUGUCACACGGGACUGCCGGUUUUAAGCCGGAGGAAGGCGAGGAUGAAGUCAAGUCAGCAUGGCCUUUAUAUCUUGGGCUACACACACGCUACAAUGGUCUGUACAACAGGUUGCCAAGCCGCGAGGCGGAGCCAAUCCUAAAAGCAGGCCUCAGUUCAGAUUGUAGGCUGCAACCCGCCUGCAUGAAGAUGGAGUUGCUAGUAACCGCAGGUCAGCUAUACUGCGGUGAAUACGUUCCCGGGUCUU
rnacentral:rRNA from 1 species